GAGUUUGAUCCUGGCUCAGGACGAACGCUGGCGGCGUGCUUAACACAUGCAAGUCGGACGGUAAGGCCCCUUUCGGGGGGUACACGAGUGGCGAACGGGUGAGUAACACGUGAGGAACGUGCCCUUGACUUCGGUAUAGCUCCAGGAAACUGGUGGUAAUCCCGAAUAUGAGCCUGGCCUGCAUGGGUUGGGUUGGAAAGCUUUAUGCGGUCAGGGAUCGUCUCGCGGCCUAUCAGCUUGUUGGUGGGGUAAUGGCCUACCAAGGCAGCGACGGGUAGCCGGCCUGAGAGGGUGACCGGCCACAUUGGGACUGAGAUACGGCCCAGACUCCUACGGGAGGCAGCAGUGGGGAAUAUUGCACAAUGGGCGCAAGCCUGAUGCAGCAACGCCGCGUGCGGGAUGACGGCCUUCGGGUUGUAAACCGCUUUCAUCCAUGACGAAGCGCAAGUGACGGUAGUGGGAGAAGAAGCACCGGCUAACUACGUGCCAGCAGCCGCGGUGAUACGUAGGGUGCGAGCGUUGUCCGGAAUUAUUGGGCGUAAAGAGCUUGUAGGCGGUUGAUCACGUCGGAAGUGAAAUUCCAGGGCUUAACUCUGGGCUUGCUUUCGAUACGGGUUGACUUGAGGAAUGUAGGGGAGAAUGGAACUCUCGGUGGAGCGGUGGAGUGCGCAGAUAUCGGGAAGAACACCAGUGGCGAAGGCGGUUCUCUGGACAUUUCCUGACGCUGAGAAGCGAAAGCGUGGGGAGCAAACAGGCUUAGAUACCCUGGUAGUCCACGCCGUAAACGGUGGGUACUAGGUGUGGGUCCCUUCCACGGGGUCCGUGCCGUAGCUAACGCAUUAAGUACCCCGCCUGGGGAGUACGGCCGCAAGGCUAAAACUCAAAGGAAUUGACGGGGCCCCGCACAAGCGGCGGAGCAUGCGGAUUAAUUCGAUGCAACGCGAAGAACCUUACCUGGGUUUGACAUGUACUGGAAGCGUUCAGAGAUGGGCGUGCCUUUUUGGCUGGUACACAGGUGGUGCAUGGCUGUCGUCAGCUCGUGUCGUGAGAUGUUGGGUUAAGUCCCGCAACGAGCGCAACCCUUGCCAUUAGUUGCUACAUUCAGUUGGGCACUCUAAUGGGACUGCCGGUGACAAACCGGAGGAAGGUGGGGAUGACGUCAAGUCCUCAUGGCCCUUAUGGGUAGGGCUUCACACGUCAUACAAUGGUCGGGACAGAGGGUUGCCAAGCCGCGAGGUGGAGCCAAUCUCAGAAACCCGAUCGUAGUCCGGAUCGCAGUCUGCAACUCGACUGCGUGAAGUCGGAAUCGCUAGUAAUCGCGGAUCAGCAUGUCGCGGUGAAUACGUUCCCGGGUCUUGUACACACCGCCCGUCACACCAUGGGAGUGGGUUUCACCAGAAGUAGGUAGCCUAACCGCAAGGGGGGCGCUUACCACGGUGAGAUUCAUGACUGGGGUGAAGUCGUAACAAGGUAACCA
rnacentral:rRNA from 1 species